rnacentral:rRNA from 1 species
UACGGGGGGGGUAAGCGUUGUUCGGAAUUACUGGGCGCAAAGGGCUCGUAGGCGGCCAACUAAGUCGGACGUGAAAUCCCUCAGCUUAACUGGGGAACUGCGUCCGAUACUGGAUGGCUUGGAUUUGGGAGAGGGAUGCGGAAUUCCAGGUGUAGCGGUGAAAUGCGUAGAUAUCUGGAGGAACACCGGUGGCGAAGGCGGCAUCCUGGACCAAUAUUGACGCUGAGGAGCGAAAGCUAGGGGAGCAAACGGG